rnacentral:tRNA from 1 species
GCGCCCAUAGCUCAGUCGGAUAGAGCGGUGGUUUCCGGUACCACGUCUGCCGGGGGUUCGAAUCCCUCUGGGCGCGUCAAAA